rnacentral:rRNA from 1 species
GGCGCGAAAACUUUACAAUGCUGGCAACAGCGAUAAGGGAACCUCGAGUGCCAGGUUACAAAUCUGGCUGUCGUUGUGUCUAAAAAACACGAUAUAGCAAGGGCCGGGCAAGACCGGUGCCAGCCGCCGCGGUAACACCGGCGGCUCGAGUGGUAACCGUUAUUAUUGGGUCUAAAGGGUCUGUAGCCGGCCGGAUAAGUCUCUUGGGAAAUCCGGCAGCUUAACUGUCGGGCUUUCAGGAGAUACUGUUCGGCUCGAGGCCGGGAGAGGUGAGAAGUACUUCAGGGGUAGGGGUGAAAUCUUGUAAUCCUUGAAGGACCACCAGUGGCGAAGGCGUCUCACCAGAACGGACCUGACGGCAAGGGACGAAAGCUAGGGGCACGAACCG